rnacentral:rRNA from 1 species
CCUACGGGAGGCAGCAGUGGGGAAUAUUGGACAAUGGGGGCAACCCUGAUCCAGCCAUGCCGCGUGUGUGAAGAAGGCCCUCGGGUUGUAAAGCACUUUCAGUGAGGAAGAACGCCUGGUGGUUAAUACCCAUCAGGAAAGACAUCACUCACAGAAGAAGCACCGGCUAACUCCGUGCCAGCAGCCGCGGUAAUACGGAGGGUGCGAGCGUUAAUCGGAAUUACUGGGCGUAAAGCGCGCGUAGGUGGCUUGAUAAGCCGGUUGUGAAAGCCCCGGGCUCAACCUGGGAACGGCAUCCGGAACUGUCAAGCUAGAGUGCAGGAGAGGAAGGUAGAAUUCCCGGUGUAGCGGUGAAAUGCGUAGAGAUCGGGAGGAAUACCAGUGGCGAAGGCGGCCUUCUGGACUGACACUGACACUGAGGUGCGACAGCGUGGGUAGCAAACAGGAUUAGAUACCCUAGUAGUC